rnacentral:rRNA from 1 species
AAAACAUCGCCUCCUGCAACAAAACUAAGUAUAAGAGGUCCAGCCUGCCCAGUGACCGCAAGUUCAACGGCCACGGUAUUUUAACCGUGCAAAGGUAGCGCAAUCACUUGUCUUUUAAAUAAAGACCUGUAUGAAUGGCUAAACGAGGGCUUAACUGUCUCCCAUUUCAAGUCAGUGAAAUUGAUCUAUCCGUGCAGAAGCGGGUAUAAUACUACAAGACGAGAAGACCCUUUGGAGCUUAAGGCGUAAGACUCAAUCACGUCAAACAACUCAAUAAAAAGCAAUUUUGAACUUUAUGAUAAAUGAGACCACUGCCUUCGGUUGGGGCGACCACGGAGAAAAAGAAAACCUCCAAGUGGAAUGGGGAAAUACCCUAAAACCAAGAGAAACAUCUCUAAGCUACAGAAUAUCUGACCAUAUAUGAUCCGGUUAACCAAGACCGAUCAACGAACCAAGUUACCCCAGGGAUAACAGCGCAAUCCUCUCCCAGAGUCCAUAUCGACGAGGGGGUUUACGACCUCGAUGUUGGAUCAGGACAUCCUAAUGGUGCAGCCGCUAUUAAGGGUUCGUUUGUUCAACGAUUAAAGUCCUACGUGA